CUUUACCAAAUGAAGUUGUGUUUAUGAAAAAUGAGGUUUAACCCGUUAGCAGGGACGGACCAAAUUUGUGGCUUUACCGUAUACCAGCGACAGGCCAAAUUUGUGCCAUGAUAAAGACCCCCAAAAAUAGAUGAUGUAUAAACUGAUAACAAAUACGUUGAUACAUAUUAUGAAAUGGUUUGCGUGAGUGAUGAUUUUUUCUCAUUUUUCUCGCUUAGAGGGACCUUAAAGAAACAUAGUCCCAGCAGCUACUGGGUUAAAGAAUUGUAUGAUGAGAUGUGAUACAAUUUGAGACUGUUAAAUUAAUAAUAUAGUCUGUAAAAAUAUAGAUAGGUAAAAAUGGCAUUAGCAGCAUACAGAGAAUAUAGAAUAAUGUUAAGCUAAAUUGUAAAUGAUUUUGAGAUCACUGAAUGUGGAAAGUCCUUGUGAAUGUCCUGUGUUCUGUGCGGGUGGCUGAGCCCUGAUUCAACCCACUGGGACAUGGCAUCAACCCUGCUUGUUAUGCACACCUUUUUGAUUACUCCUGCCCUCUGCCUGAACCUUUCCGCAGUGUUGGCAGUGGAGCAAGCCAGUGUUUCGGGUGCUGGUGACAUAUAUCAGUUGUGAGGACCACUCUAAUUAGUUCUCGUAUCAGAAAAAAAAAGGAAAAUUUGUCUGAGGUAUGAAAGUGAAACAAUGUCAGAGUAAAGACUGAUAAAUGUGACUGAAUGACCCACAGAACCAAUCAGUCGACCCUCUUAAUUUUUCUGACAUAUUUAACUUUUAUUCCUCAGCUCAAUUUAUUAUAAGAAUGUUUUCCUGAUGGAUUGAUUGAAAUGGUGCAGCAAAUAAACCUUGCGUGGCCCGUGUUGUGUGACCUUUGCCAGUGUGCAGUGAGUGGCGUGUUGUUGACCUGUGUGGAGGGUGACCUGCUGCACCUGCUGAUACAUGUCCUGCCAGGCUCAGAGGGAUCAGGAUCAGGAUCAGGAUCAGGAUCAGGAUCUCUUGAUAAUGAAAGCUGUUGACUCACACGGUCACACCUCACGUCAGCACCACACACGCCAGCACUGGUGAUAAGGCUCCUCAUGGGGAUUCAAAGUCCCCAUGAAGCACAUCCUCAGUUGCUUUACAAUUUCCUGUCUGAUUAUCAACCUGCCAAUCCUUGAUAAUUAUUACUGAAUUACGUGAAAACAAAAAUUACGAUGCCUUGAUACCUUAAUUGGCCCUCAUACUUUUACUCAUACUUAUUUAUAUUGCCUGUGGGAAGGCAAGCACUUCCUUCUCCUUUGCUAUACUCGUGAUCUCCCUCUGAUUUGAGGUGACCACGCUUGGAAAAUCACCCAGCUUGUAUACCUAAUAUGUCUUUCAGCUUCCUUCCUUCCUUCUUACCUUCCUACCUUACUUCCUACGCUAGCAUGAGUCUUGGAGGGGGCACCUUACCUCAUCAUCACCAUAACUGCCCCUGCCAACCCUUUCCUUCCUCCGUGUGAGGCAUGGAAGAGAAAGCCUUUCCUGAGCAUAAACUCUACUGCAUAAUGGAUGUGACUUUGAGGGAGUUAUGCUCAUUUUAUCACUAAUUCUUCCUAACCUAACUGGGUCAAAAAGUGGAAAUAGUUAACUUGUAAAUGUAAUGGUAAGCAGAGUGACAUUUGGGAGAAGGUUGACGUAGCAAUGAAGAGAAUAACAAAUCAGGGUAUUGUAUGUUGCAUUAUAGUGACCUCAGAGUAUUAUGUUUUAUGUUAUGUAUUAUUAUGGUUUGGAGCAGCGAGUAGCGGGCUUUUUUUUAUUGUUGUUUCCUUUUUUUUGUGCCCUUGUGCUGUCUCCUUUGCUGUAAAAAAAAAAAAAAAAAAAAAAUGAUGGUAUUAUAGUCUAUUCCAUCAGCUCAGAGAAAACAAAGCUCACUACAUGGUACCACUCUCGUUCUUUUACCUCUAACCUGCUUCCUGUGAGAACAUGAAGAGGGAAGUUCCAUCAUUAAGUUUCUGGUAAUUAUCAAGCAGUUAUAAUGUGUUGGUGAAGAAAGUAUAUCUGAUUGCAUUGUUUAUUCCCAGUGAGCAAAAAACAUCAAGACAACAUAUUCUACCUUAAUCUAAAGUAACAUCCUGACCGAGACUUGCCAUAUUCUAAGCCUUGUGUUUGUCAAUAGCUAGAAUGAUGUGUAUAGUGAAGGGUAUAGAAUGGAUGAUAGUGAAAGGGGCAGGUGUCUCAAUAAUAGUGAGGGGGCAGGUGCUUUAAUGAUAGUGAAAGAGACAGGUGUUUUAAUGAUAAGGGAAAAAGUGAAGAGGGCAGGUUGAAAUGAUAGUGAAUGGGACAGGUGUUUUAAUGAUAAGGGAAAAAGUGAAGAGGGCAGGUUGAAAUGAGAGUGAAUGGGACAGGUGUUUUAAUGAUAAGGGAAAAAGUGAAGAGGUCAGGUUAAAAUGAUAGUGAAUGGGACAGGUGUUUUAAUGAUAAGGGAAAAAGUGAAGAGGUCAGGUUAAAAUGAUAGUGAAUGGGACAGGUGUUUUAAUGAUAAGGGAAAAAGUGAAGAGGUCAGGUUGAAAUGAGAGUGAAUAGGACAAGUGUUUUAAUAAGGGAAAAAGUGGAGAGGGCAGGUUGAAAUGAUAAUGAAUGGGAUAGGUGAUUUAAUGAUGAGUGAAAAGGGCAAGUAAAAAUGAUAGUGAGCAAAACAGAUGCCUUCAUGAAACACCAUUUUUUGGGCUGGUGAGGUGGACCGGCCCCUAACGAAGCAUGUGCUCAGGUGGGUCAUUGUAUACCUGAGUAAUGGUGGAC